AUUGAACGCUGGCGGCAUGCCUUACACAUGCAAGUCGAACGGCAGCACGGGUGCUUGCACCUGGUGGCGAGUGGCGAACGGGUGAGUAAUAUAUCGGAACGUACCUUAUUGUGGGGGAUAACGCAGCGAAAGCUGUGCUAAUACCGCAUAAUCCCUAAGGGGGAAAGCGGGGGACCGUAAGGCCGCGCGCAAUUAGAGCGGCCGAUACCUGAUUAGCUAGUUGGUGAGGUAAAGGCUCACCAAGGCAACGACCAGUAGCUGGUCUGAGAGGACGAUCAGCCACACUGGGACUGGGACACGGCCCAGACUCCUACGGGAGGCAGCAGUGGGGAAUUUUGGACAAUGGGGGCAACCCUGAUCCAGCAAUGCCGCGUGAGUGAAGAAGGCCUUCGGGCUGUAAAGCUCUUUUGUCAGGGAAGAAACAGCAGCUCUAACACAGUAUGCGAAUGACGGUACCUGAAGAAUAAGCACCGGCUAACUACGUGCCAGCAGCCGCCGUAA
rnacentral:rRNA from 1 species